ensembl:miRNA aca-mir-125a aca-mir-125a
GGGCAUCUUCUCUGUCCCUGAGACCCUUAACCUGUGAGGAAGCCCAGAGGUCACAGGUGAGGUUCUUGGGAACUGAGCGGAGAGCCACCC